rnacentral:rRNA from 1 species
UGGGGAAUAUUGGGCAAUGGGGGAAACCCUGACCCAGCCACGCCGCGUGAGUGAUGAAGGCCUUCGGGUCGUAAAGCUCUGUGGGGAGGGACGAAACCUCGUCGGCUAAUACCCGGCGAGCUGACGGUACCUCCUUAGCAAGCACCGGCUAACUCCGUGCCAGCAGCCGCGGUAAUACGGAGGGUGCAAACGUUGCUCGGAAUUAUUGGGCGUAAAGCGUGCGUAGGCGGUCUCGCAAGUCGGGUGUGAAAGCCCUCGGCUCAACCGAGGAAGUGCAUUCGAAACUACGAGACUUGAGUACCGGAGGGGAUGACGGAAUUCCCGGUGUAGAGGUGAAAUUCGUAGAUAUCGGGAGGAACACCAGUGGCAAAGGCGGUCAUCUGGACGGAUACUGACGCUGAGGCACGAAAGCGUGGGGAGCAAACAGGAUUAGAUACCCUGGUAGUCCACGCUGUAAACGAUGGAUGCUAGACGUCGCGGGAUUGACCCCUGCGGCAUCGAAGCUAACGCG